rnacentral:rRNA from 1 species
CGCUCCUCGUCGUUAUACAUGUGGAGUCGUACCUGCUCAGUGAAUAAUUUCAACAGCCGCGGUACUCUGACCGUGCAAAGGUAGCAUAAUCAUUUGCCUUAUAAUUGAAGGCUAGUAUGAAUGGUUUGACGAGAAUUAAGCUGUCUCUUUUCAACUAAAUAUAACUUUAUUUACAGGUGAAGAAGCCUGUAUUAUAUUGAAAGACAAGAAGACCCUAUCGAGCUUUAAAUAAUUUAAUAAGUUAACUAUAUAUUAAUAGAAAAAUUAAAUUAUUAAGGAUUUUAGUUGGGGCGACUGAGGAACAAACAAAGCUUCCUUAUUAACACGGAAACACACAGGUAUUGAUCCAAUAUUUUUGAUUAAGGGAAUUAGUUACCGUAGGGAUAACAGCAUAAUCCUCUUUGAGAGCUCUCAUCGAAAAGGGGGUUUGUGACCUCGAUGUUGGACCAGAAUAUCCGGAAGAUGCAGCCGUCUUCAAUGGUUGGUCUGUUCGACCAUUAAAAUUCUACGUGAUCUGAGUUCAGACCGGCGUGAGCCAGGUCAGUUUCUAUCUUCAAUUAUUAAAAUGACUUUAGUACGAAAGGACCAAGUUAUUACACUAAGUUGUUACGAAUAGAUUAAAUAUAAAGAGUUAUUAAAUUAUUAAGUAAAUCAAAUUAGCAAAGAUAAAUGCAAUUGACUUAGGAUCAAUAGACAUAGGUGAAAUCCCUUUAUUUGAUAAAAACAUGUCUACAUAAAGAUGGCAGAAAAA